rnacentral:rRNA from 1 species
GCCAUCCCAGUUCGGAUUGCAGGCUGCAACCCGCCUGUAUGAAGUUGGAAUCGCUAGUAAUCGCGGAUCAGCAUGCCGCGGUGAAUACGUUCCCGGGCCUUGUACACACCGCCCGUCACACCAUGAGAGUCGGGAACACCCGAAGUCCGUAGUCUAACCGCAAGGGGACGCGGCCGAAGGUGGGUUCGAUAAUUGGGGUGAAGUCGUAACAAGGUACC